UGACAAUCAACGUGUCCCCAUCCCCCCCCAGGUGUCUCCUGCUUGUCCCCAUCCCCGCCAGGUGACAACGAACCUGUCCAGGUGACAAUGAACCUGUCCAGGUGACAACGAACCCAUCCCUGUUCCCCCUCAGGUGACAAUAAACACGUCCCCAUCCCCGCCAGGUGACAAUAAACACGUUCAGGUGACAAUAAACACGUCCCCAUCCCCGCCAGGUGACAAUAAACACGUUCAGGUGACACAGCA